CCCUAUGGGGUGCAGCAGGCGCGAAACCUCCACAAUGCACGAAAGUGCGAUGGGGUUACCUCGAGUGCCGUCUGAAAAAGGCGGCUUUUCCACUGUAUAAUAAGCCGUGGGAAUAAGGGGGGGGCAAGACUGGUGUCAGCCGCCGCGGUAACACCAGCCCCCCGAGUGGUGGGGAUGAUUAUUUGGCCUAAAGCGUCCGUAGCCGGCUCGGUAAAUCUCUCGUUAAAUCCAGCGUCCUAAGCGUUGGGCUGCGAGGGAGACUGCCAAGCUAGAGGGUGGGAGAGGUCAGCGGUAUUCCUGGGGUAGGGGCGAAAUCCGUUGAUCCCAGGAGGACCACCAGUGGCGAAGGCUGCUGACUAGAACACGCCUGACGGUGAGGGACGAAAGCUGGGGUAGCGAAUCGGAUUAGAUACCCGAGUAGUCCCAGCCGUAAACGAUGCAGGCUAGGUGUUGGGUCGGUCACGUACCGACUCAGUGCCACAGGGAAGCCAUUAAGCCUGCCGCCUGGGGAGUACGGCCGCAAGGCUGAAACUUAAAGGAAUUGGCGGGGGAGCACCACCAGGCGUGAAGCCUGCGGUUUAAUUGGAGUCAACGCCCGGGAACCUUACCGGGAGCGACAGCAGAGUGAAGCCAGGUUGAAAGUCUUGCCGGACGAGCUGAGAAGUGAUGCAUGGGCCAAAGGCGAAU
rnacentral:rRNA from 1 species